rnacentral:tRNA from 1 species
UGGCAUGGAGCUCAGUUGGUAGAGUACCUGCCUCACAUGCAGGAGGCCCUGAGUUCAGUCCCUAGCAUCGCAU